rnacentral:rRNA from 1 species
AGUAGAGUGGCGGACGGGUGAGUAACGCGUAGGAAUCUGCCCUGUAGUGGGGGAUAACCCGGGGAAACUCGGGCUAAUACCGCAUACGCCCUGAGGGGGAAAGCGGGGGAUCUUCGGACCUCGUGCUAUGGGAGGAGCCUGCGUCGGAUUAGCUAGUUGGUAGGGUAAAGGCCUACCAAGGCGACGAUCCGUAGCUGGUCUGAGAGGAUGAUCAGCCACACCGGAACUGAGACACGGUCCGGACUCCUACGGGAGGCAGCAGUGGGGAAUAUUGCGCAAUGGGCGAAAGCCUGACGCAGCCAUGCCGCGUGUGUGAAGAAGGCCUUCGGGUUGUAAAGCACUUUCAGUGGGGAGGAAAGGCCGGGGCUAAUACCCUUGGGAGUUGACGUUACCACAGAAGAAGCACCGGCUAAUUCCGUGCCAGCAGCCGCGGUAAUACGGAAGGUGCAAGCGUUAAUCGGAAUUACUGGGCGUAAAGCGC